CGGAGGGUGCAAGCGUUAAUCGGAAUUACUGGGCGUAAAGCGCACGCAGGUGGCUGAGUCAGUCGAUUGUGAAAGCCCUGGGCUUAACCUGGGAAUUGCAGUCGAUACUACUCAGCUAGAGUAUGGGAGAGGGUAGUGGAAUUCCCGGUGUAGCGGUGAAAUGCGUAGAUAUCGGGAGGAACAUCAGUGGCGAAGGCGGCCACCUGGCCCAAUACUGACACUCAGGUGCGACAGCGUGGGGGGCAAACAGGAUUAGAUACCCUGGUAGUCCACGCCGUAAACGAUGAGAACUAGAUGUCGGGGGGGAUUAGCCCCGGUCGGUGUCGUAGCUAACGCGCUAAGUUCUCCGCCUGGGGAGUACGGCCGCAAGGUUG
rnacentral:rRNA from 1 species